GCAUUUAAUUGGGCUGAAUUAAAAUUCGUCCUUUUCAAGAAAAAAGUGGCCCUCUCAAGUUCUCAGUCCCCCGAUGAUCUAGGCUGUCCCGUCGAUUGUCUAAUGAACUCCUGAUGAGUUGUAGAUGAAAGGGAUUAAAAUAACGCUACCCAGAACUCACUUUGGUCUCCUCAUUAUCUGGACUAAGGAAGUCUAGGAUAAUUACAGGGUUACUUUAAAAAAAAAGUUUCAUCAUUGUACUUCCUGUCUGGAGAGUAAAUAACAAAGCACUUACAGUCUGUCAGAGACCUAUUAAAACCCACGACACCUCUGCAAGCAAAUAACUUGGAGAACUCAAGAAUUCUCCCCCCCCGACAGGACACGGAAAUGCCAGCCUUAAACGAGCAACAACUCCUUGCCAUGGUGCGACAGUCCUAGCCCUGUUGCAACUGGGCGACUCAUCAAUUCGCGGAGAGAAGCAUCAUCAGGGUACACACGGAUCUGUUAUUACCCAUUAUACAUAUGACGCGAAGGUCACAUAUCAGGCAAUUACACCUUUUCAUUACAUGCUAACCCCUCACGGCAGGGAAGCCACGCUUAUGACUGCAUUAGACAGACAAAGCCUUCAGCUCUUAAAAAAAUAAAAAAUAAAAAAAUAAAGGAAAAGCAAAAAAAAAAAAAAAAGGAUAAAAAAAAAUAAAUAUGUUUUCUUACCAGCACGUUACAGCACCAACUCGGUUACAGGAAUGUUGCCUUUACAGGUUUCUCUUUUAAUGAUCCUGGAAGCAGGGAGACAAAAAAAAAAAAAAAAAAAAAAAAAAAAAGCAAAGAAGAAGCAGGGUGGUUAAAUUAGCGUGCUGGAAUCUUUUCAGUUUGUCGCAGAGUAGAAAAAUAAAAAAGGGGGAAAAAAGGCUCAGUAAUUUAAAUUUGCUCUCAGUUCAGGCUGCGUGGUUGGGUCCCGCCCCUGCCUCCCGCUGGGUUCUACUACCUGCAAGGCUGGAAUUGACAGCUACUGUGCAAACAAAAAAGGCAACAAGCAUGCUGGGACCAUUCUGUCUGCUGUUUGGGUCUCACUUGUCCUGACAACUAAAAAUCAUCAGUGGAAAGAUGAGGCUAUUAUGGGCUACUUUGCUAUGAAGCUACUACAAGCCUGCCUGGAGUAUGGAUUAUCUGCAGGUUUGCUUCUUGAUCCGAAUCAUAGCUUCUAUAAUGAAUCACAGACACACCUCUUGUCUGGUUUUGCAAGGGCUUUAAGGAAUGCAUCAUGAACCAGAAGAGUGGCUGACCCCAUCCCAGUACUUCUCAAUCCGCCACUCCCACACCGACUGCAUCUCUGGG
rnacentral:lncRNA from 1 species